GUGAACUGAUUAUGAUAAACACAGAUGAAUAGGUAAUACAAUUAACGGAUUAUUUAUUAACACUGACACGAGUAGCAGCAGGUAAACAUGACAAGGAACUGAGUAUUGAUGAACACUGAGGUGAACAACAGGUGAACUGAGCAUUGAUGAACACUGAGGUGAACAGCAGGUGAACUGAGUAUUGAUGAACACUGAGGUGAACUGAGCAUUGAUGAACACUGAGGUGAACAGCAGGUGAACUGAGUAUGAAUGAAAACUGAAGUUGUAGUAAGGGUUUGAACCUGGCUGUCAGCUGUAUGUGAUAUUCUUAAUGGACAAGAAACACUCCUCUUUGGUUGGUUCUUGUCUGUGUUAUUCUAUGCUGUCCUUCAG
ensembl:lncRNA